AAAGCCCCGCAAGGGGUAAGUAGAGUGGCAAACGGGUGAGUAACACGUGGGUGACCUGCCUUCGAGCGGGGGAUAACGUCCCGAAAGGGACGCUAAUACCGCAUAACAUCCUGCCUUUGAAGAGGCGGUGAUCAAAGCUGGGGAUCGCAAGACCUAGCACUCGAAGAGGGGCCCGCGUCCGAUUAGCUAGUUGGUGGGGUAAUGGCCCACCAAGGCAACGAUCGGUAGCCGGCCUGAGAGGGCGGACGGCCACACUGGGACUGAGACACGGCCCAGACUUCUACGGGAGGCAGCAGUGGGGAAUUGUUCGCAAUGGGCGCAAGCCUGACGACGCAACGCCGCGUGGAGGAUGAAGAUCUUCGGGUCGUAAACUCCUUUCGAUCGAGACGAAUGCCUCCGGGGUGAACAAUCCUGGAGGUUGACGGUACCGAGAGAAGAAGCCCCGGCUAACUCCGUGCCAGCAGCCGCGGUAAUACGGGGGGGGCAAGCGUUGUUCGGAAUUACUGGGCGUAAAGGGCUCGUAGGUGGCCAACUAAGUCGGACGUGAAAUCCCUCGGCUUAACCGGGGAACUGCGUCCGAUACUGGUUGGCUUGAGUUUGGGAGAGGGAUGCGGAAUUCCAGGUGUAGCGGUGAAAUGCGUAGAUAUCUGGAGGAACACCGGUGGCGAAGGCGGCAUCCUGGACCAAUACUGACGCUGAGGAGCGAAAGCCAGGGGAGCAAACGGGAUUAGAUACCCCGGUAGUCCUGGCCCUAAACGAUGAAUGCUUGGUGUGGCGGGUAUCGAUCCCUGCCGUG
rnacentral:rRNA from 1 species